UGGAGGGCAAGUCUGGUGCCAGCAGCCGCGGUAAUUCCAGCUCCAAUAGCGUAUAUUAAACUUGUUGCAGUUAAAAAGCUCGUAGUUGAAUUUCUGCGUUAUCGAGUUAUUGACUCUUGUCUUUAAUCGAUUUCGCUUUUGGGAUUUAUCCCUUUUUACUUUGAGAAAAUUAGAGUGUUUCAAGCAGACUUUUGUCUUGAAUACUUCAGCAUGGAAUAAUAGAGUAGGACUUUGGUUCUAUUUUGUUGGUUUUUGAACCUUAGUAAUGGUUAAUAGGAACGGUUGGGGGCAUUCGUAUUUAACUGUCAGAGGUGAAAUUC
rnacentral:rRNA from 1 species